rnacentral:rRNA from 2 species
GGGUUGUGAGGUUAAGCGACUAAGCGUACACGGUGGAUGCCCUGGCAGUCAGAGGCGAUGAAGGGCGUGCUAAUCUGCGAUAAGCGCCGGUAAGGUGAUAUGAACCGUUAUAACCGGCGAUACCCGAAUGGGGAAACCCAGUGUGAUUCGUCACACUAUCAUUAACUGAAUCCAUAGGUUAAUGAGGCGAACCGGGGGAACUGAAACAUCUAAGUACCCCGAGGAAAAGAAAUCAACCGAGAUUCCCCCAGUAGCGGCGAGCGAACGGGGAGGAGCCCAGAGCCUGAAUCAGCAUGUGUGUUAGUGGAAGCGUCUGGAAAGGCGCGCGAUACAGGGUGACAGCCCCGUACACAAAAGCGCAUGUGCUGUGAGCUCGAUGAGUAGGGCGGGACACGUGGUAUCCUGUCUGAAUAUGGGGGGACCAUCCUCCAAGGCUAAAUACUCCUGACUGACCGAUAGUGAACCAGUACCGUGAGGGAAAGGCGAAAAGAACCCCGGCGAGGGGAGUGAAAAAGAACCUGAAACCGUGUACGUACAAGCAGUGGGAGCACAGGUUUACCUGUGUGACUGCGUACCUUUUGUAUAAUGGGUCAGCGACUUAUAUU